CAGCAGCCGCGGUAAUACAGAGGGUGCGAGCGUUAAUCGGAUUUACUGGGCGUAAAGCGUGCGUAGGCGGCUUCUUAAGUCGGAUGUGAAAUCCCUGAGCUUAACUUAGGAAUUGCAUUCGAUACUGGGAAGCUAGAGUAUGGGAGAGGAUGGUAGAAUUCCAGGUGUAGCGGUGAAAUGCGUAGAGAUCUGGAGGAAUACCGAUGGCGAAGGCAGCCAUCUGGCCUAAUACUGACGCUGAGGUACGAAAGCAUGGGGAGCAAACAGGAUUAGAUACCCUGUAGUCCCUGUCUCUUAUACA
rnacentral:rRNA from 1 species